rnacentral:rRNA from 1 species
UACAGAGGUCUCAAGCGUUGUUCGGAUUCAUUGGGCGUAAAGGGUGUGUAGGUGGCGCCGUAAGUCGGGUGUGAAAUUUCGGAGCUUAACUCCGAAACUGCAUUCGAUACUGCGGUGCUUGAGGACUGGAGAGGAGACUGGAAUUCAUGGUGUAGCAGUGAAAUGCGUAGAGAUCAUGAGGAAGACCAGUGGCGAAGGCGGGUCUCUGGACAGCUCCUGACACUGAGACACGAAGGCCAGGGGAGCAAACAGG